GGCUCCGUGGCUUAACUGGUCAAAGCGCCUGUCUAGUAAACAGGAGAUCCUGGGUUCAACUCCCAACGGAGCCU